CCAUGAGUUCUUGCUGCUGCUAAAAACAGCAUGAAGAAAAAAGGCACAGACGCUCACGGUAGUUUUGGUCGUUUAUUGUGGUUUAUGACACUUGAAGCAGACAUUAUUUAGACUGACAGGACAUGAUGGCUGAUUGUGAGAAUGUUGAGCUGCCAAACACAGCUGGUCGUAACCUGAAGCAAUGGCUUCAGGAACAAUUCGGCAACAGGCCUCUGGAACAGGCUGAGGACAUGCGUCUACAUAACGCUGCCCAUUUGGGAGAUCUAGACACUCUCAGGACUCUGCUACAAGAAGACAUCUUCAAACAGGGAAUUAAUGAGAAGUUGAUUUGGUCAUGUGGUUUGCUGCCCUGCACGCCCCUGCGUAUUGCUGCCAUGAUGGGUCACAGCAAAUGUGUGGAGUUCCUGAUCUCUCAGGGAGCUAAAGUGGACCUGGUGGAUGUAAAGGGUCAGACUGCUAUGUUCAUGGCUGUGGUUAAUGGACAUCUGGACUGUGUGAAGAUUCUUCUGAAAGCCGGUGCUGAUCCGAAUGGCAGCAUUCAUCACCGAAGCACACCCUUAUACCAUGCUGCACAAGUGGGCCGAGUGGACAUCCUACGAGAGCUGAUCAGGUUCAAUGCUGAUGUUGAUAUUGACCACCGGCUGGAACAGAGGGCUAUGUUCGGCACGCGCACUUUAGCAAAUCUGUCAGUCUGUCCGCUGUUCAUUAGCGCUGCUUACCACCACUUCCCCUGCUUCCGGAUUCUUCUGAAUGCCGGGGCCAACCCGAACUACAACUACAAUGGCCCCGUGAGCAGGGAAGCACUGGUCAGGGGCCGGGCCUCCUGUGUGCUGGAUGCCGUUCUGAAACUCGGAUGCGAACCAGCCUUUGUUCGCUUACUGCUGGACCAUGGCGCUGACCCGUAUCUAGUCCCCUGGGACGAGCUCGAUCCUGAAACCAUGGUUCGCUUAAAGGUCAACGCUGAAGCCCUGCGAAUCUACCAGGAGGCCAAAAGAAACCCGAGGAGAUUGAUGCACCUCUGCCGCAUUACAAUCCGGAAGAUCAUGGGCAAGGAGCGUCUGUCAUGUAUCUCUUCCCUUGAGCUGCCAGAAACCAUCAAAAGAUUUAUGUUUCACGAGGAUUGAUGUUUAGCUUCUCCAUGGAGAUGGUCGAUUAACUCGAGGGUGUAAAUGGCCACUCGCUCCUCAGCAUUACUUACAUGGAAACCGAUGACUUCCAAGGUAAUGGCACUUUUCUAUGUUGGUUUUAGGGGGAAAUCUGUGGUGAGAAAUGGAGCUGAGAAUACUACACUCUUAUUCACAGGAAGUGAUUUAUACUUCCUGUAAGAUGGAUCCUGUCUUCACAGAGGCCCUGCCCACAAGUUUCUCAGGGAUCUUAGAAGAUAUCAUAUUGAACUAUCAUAUCUCACCAUCAUAUAAUGGCCUCUGAUGUGCACCGAUUCCACUGAGGUUUUCUACCAUAUCGCUGAUUUCCCAGGCUUCAUCCAUCAGGAUCACUCUCUGGGUACAACUGGCUUUUUUCCUUGUCAGACUAUAACAUAGUGUGCUGUGACAUUAAAACCACAUCUUGCUGAAAACCACAAACUGGAAAGCAAAGCCUGGGAAAGGCUGGAUUCUGCCAAUGAAUCACCAGUGGACUCGUAGAGAACUGGUCCCUCUAUCUCUGUCUGCCCAAUGGGGGAAAGCGGAACUGGAAAGAGGCCACUUAGAAACCCCAAAACUCUAAGAGCAGGAUGCAUGUCCAGAUUGCGUCUUAGCUCCACCCCCUUAGGAUGCGAGGGAAAAAUACACCUGUGUGUCCUCGCUCAUGACCCCUCAGGAAGCUUCCUUGCCUCCUCGCAGUGCAGUUAGAGAAUUGAGAUGCCCUUUAUGAUGGCUGAGUUCAUUCGGUUCCCGGGUCACGAGAUAGAGGAUGGAGGAGCGAGGAAACGAGGAAGCAUCAAUUUGAGUUUUGAGAAACACCGAAAUCACUUUCUUGAGUUGGUAUUUAUUUUGAAUAGAGUGCAUUCUGGGAUUGGCGUGUCCUCCAACAGUCGAACCCCUUCAUCUUUACAGAAUUCAGGCUGCAGCAGGAAGUUAAGGACAGAUCUUCAGGAACUAGAGAAACAGCUGGUCACUGGCCUGGACUUUGCGUGCUCCCCAGGCCUGUGAUCUCAUUCGCACGAUGGACGUCCCUUGACGUGGCGAAACAGCAUCUGACUUUUCGUUCAUCACUAAAUCAAGCUGAUGAUCAGGAGCAAGUCCAAACAGCACACAUCAUGCACACAUUUUAUAAAGUUGUAUCCACUCAAGCUUGACUUUAUGUGUAUUUGUAGAACUGUUUUAUGGGGUAUAAUAAGAGCGGAGAGUCAUUCAGUGGACAGAACAACAUUAACUCAAAAGAGCACACUGCUCUGAGGUACUGUGUUCCAGGGGUUUCAAAUGGGCUCUCCAAGGCGCUGCUGAAAAAAAAAAAAAAAAAAGUUAAAAUUUACAGAAUUUUAUAUUAUCAUGGUUUCAUUCCGAUCUAAAUGGAUUGGUCGAACAUCAUAGAUUAAUCACAAAACACUUUCAUUCUAUUGACAGUUUGUUUCUUUUUAGUUUUAUACAUCUAAACAGUAUUCCAAUGGUCCUCCAUAAUUAUAGUCAACAGAAACAAAACUUUUUUGUAGCUUGAAAUUUAACUUGGUCAUUAAAUUGAUAGUGAAAUGAUUUAACUUAAAGGAUUAGUUCACUUUCAAAUGAAAAUUAGCCCAAGCUAAUUGGAAUCAAUUCAAUGGAAAGGAUUCCGUAAGAGAAGACAAUGCUGAAUAAAGUCGUAGUUUUUGUUAU